rnacentral:tRNA from 1 species
GCACUACUGGUGGAGUGGCUCCAUGCAAGACCCCUAUUCUUGUAUCCGGGUUCGAACCCGGGAAAGGCG